CCCUCGGCAGGCACCCUCACAAAGGACUGUUUGCCUACUCGCUUCAUAUUACCUAAUUAUGGAGGAAUACAUGACGAAGUCAACUACCCCUCACGACUUUCUAUUUAUAAAAUACAUUAAAUAGUGGUACUCUCAGAAGAGAAAGAGGUAACCAUUUGAAAUGAAAAAAAGAAAGCAAGCAUACAUUCCUCAACUACUGAUCUAUCUGUUUAUGAGUAGAAUCUAUUGGAUGCCCGUUUACGAUGCUUAUAUCGAAAGUUUUGACCACGGCUCAGGAAACCAAAAGAAUAAGAAAUCCUCCCAUUCCUUGAUGAAAUAUCCAUUUAGACCAUUUAGGGUGGGCCUAUAUGACUCCAUAGGUAUAGCAUCAUAUGGUCUCCCCGCG
rnacentral:misc_RNA from 1 species